UACAGAGGGGGCGAGCGUUGUUCGGAAUUACUGGGCGUAAAGGGCGCGCAGGCGGCUCUUCAAGUCAGAUGUGAAAGCCCCGGGCUCAACCUGGGAACUGCAUUUGAGACUGGAGAGCUUGAGUUCGGGAGAGGAGAGCGGAAUUCCCAGUGUAGAGGUGAAAUGCGUAGAUACUGGGAGGAACACCGGUGGCGAAGGCGGCUACCUGGACCGGUUCUGACACUGAUGCGCGAAAGCGUGGGUAGCAAACAGG
rnacentral:rRNA from 1 species